rnacentral:rRNA from 1 species
UAGGGGGCAAGCGUUAUCCGGAUUUACUGGGUGUAAAGGGAGCGUAGGUGGCAUGGUAAGCCAGAAGUGAAAACCCAGGGCUCAACUCUGUGGAUUGCUUUUGGAACUAUCAGGCUGGAGUGCUGGAGGGGUAAGCGGAAUUCCUAGUGUAGCGGUGAAAUGCGUAGAUAUUAGGAGGAACACCGGUGGCGAAGGCGGCUUACUGGACAGAAACUGACACUGAGGCUCGAAAGCGUGGGGAGCAAA